rnacentral:lncRNA from 1 species
GGGCCAUAUGGGUCAUGGGGAAAAUGUCAGAGACAACAACCCGACCAAAGAGCAUUUGUAACAGAUUACACAGUGUAAAAUAGGAUGAAAUAAGAAUUCUAUUAAGACUAACAUAGGAAAGUCCAACCCUCACCAUAAAAAUCACUGCUAUAAUUUAAGCUGAUAUGAAUGGUGCACAAUUGUGUAAGAGCCUGGUAGAAAAGG